UCAGUUACAAUCCAGCAUCUGGGGCACACACAACGAGUAUCUGAUUACUCUCUUAUUUUGCCCCGGGAAGGUCUGAGAAUCGGCCAAGCCAUGUUGUUUCGCUUCGUGCGAGGCUCUAUUUUCUAGCAGGAAACCUGUAUGAUUACAGGGCGAGAGUACCAGAAAUCCUGCCCAGGUGUUGCCGUUGCCCAGCAACCGCCGCCUGAUGGCAUUGAAAACUCUCGUGGCCAGCCUUUUUAGUGCGAUGUGCUUGCUGCCUUCGGGUAGAACUCAAUUCAGACUAAUCUGUGACUGA
rnacentral:RNase_P_RNA from 1 species